CGAUUCUGUAACUCACUGUUAAUCCGUGAGUCCACUACGCAGUAACAGCGCUCCCUUCGUCACUGACGUAAUUUUUGGAAUCUCAUGGUAUUCUGUUAAGAAAUUUUACAUUACGUCUUGAUAAGUGGAGGCAGGUAACCUAGUAAGUUGUUGUCUAUUAAUAUCGUGACAAUUGACUCAUUUUAUUUUAUAAAAAGAGUAAAUUGUCAAAAUUUUCAUCAUACAUAAACAAAAUAUUUUUAAUAAAACAAAAUAGAGAACAAAAUGGUCGACGUUUGAAAUAAAAUUAAUAAUAUUAAAAAAAAGAUAAACUGCCCUGCGAUUCUGUAACUCGCUUCACACACUCUCAGCGCUGAGUUUUGCUGUCAAAUCGUUCGUUUCGGUGUCAUGUUACAAUUUGGUAUUCUGUUAAACAAUAACCGCGACAAAAGCGCCGCUCAAAUAAGAUUGUUCACAUUUGGAACUAAAAUUUGGCACUGCUACACUUACGCUCCAAAAUUGUUGGUAUUUGGUAUUCUGAUACAUACCAUUUGACAUCUCAUCUCAUUUAAAUGUACAUUUUGUACGUCAAAUUAAAAGUUGCUCUUCCCUCGCUGAAAACGUCAUUUACCAGUGAGUUAGCCAUUUUUAGCGAAGUUAAAACUUGUUUUAUGUGAAAAUAUUCUAACAUAGGACAAUCUAUAUGUAUCUUGGGAAGGCCCGUUUCCACUUUUAAAGUUUAAACCUCUAUUUCAA